GACGAACGCUGGCGGCGUGCCUAAUACAUGCAAGUAGUACGCAGUUGCGAACGGGUGAGUAACGCGUAGGUAACUGCCUCAUAGCGGGGGAUAACUAUUGGAAACGAUAGCUAAUACCGCCUCCUGUUAGAUGGACCUGCGUUGUAUUAGCUAGUUGGUGAGGUAAAGGCUCACCAGGGCGACGAUACAUAGCCGACCUGAUAGGUUGAUCGUCCACUCUGGUAAUGAGGCACGGCCCAGAACCCUGCGGGAGACUGAAGUAGUGAAGCUGAGGAAAUGGAGGGAAGACUGACCAGAGAACGCAGCGUGAGUGAAGAAAGUGUACGAGUGGUACGGGGCUGUUAUGAGAGAAGCGGAGACUAAUAAGAAAGGGACGGCAAACUACGCGCCAGCAGCCGCGGUAAUAC
rnacentral:rRNA from 1 species